GAACCCGCGCCCCCUGCAUUGGCAGGCGGACUCGCAACCACUGCGCCACCAGGGAAGCCCUGGGCACUCCUAUUUUUAUGCAGAAGAAAUCUGGCUAAAACGAUCCUCAGGAAUAGAGACCUUCUCUAUUCCUGUGCACUGGGAAGAGGACAGAGAGGAUGGUGAUGGGGAGUGUGUUACAAUGAUUUUGUGAAGAAGUGAAUGGGGUGUGGGUUUAUCUUGACACAAGUGAAAAAGGAAAGGAAGAAAAAAAAAGUGCUCAACGACCAAGUUGGCGUUUGCAGUGAGUGCUGUGUAAGAGAGCUGCCUUAUUUUCUGGGCCACCAGGCAGCUCUGGCUUUCUGUCCAAAGCAGUGAGAAUCCCACAAAGCAGAGGGUGGGACAAGGGACAGGUCUGCCCUUGGAGGGUGUCCUUAGGCACCAGGGCAGAGCCUUCUCACAUCCCCCUUCUCGGUGUUAGAGGUGGUGAGGUGUCACGAGAUGUGCACUGGAAGCCUAGCCCGGUUCCACCCAUUGUCACGGUUCAGUUGGGGUGAGCCUGUCCCCCUCUCAGAGCCUUGGUCUUCUUCCUUAUACAGGAGGCAAGCGAGGUUGGUGUGGGCAUUGAGGAAGAACUUUGUGAACCUUAAAAUGCUAGAUACUAUUGUAUCUUAGAGUCCUCGGCAGGACUGAACAGGAUGGUGGGUGGAGGCCCCGUCCUUUGGGGUUCUGGGGUGGCUCAUAGGCUGUGUGAAAAGUAGUGCAGGUUUCAGCUGGGGAAGAUGAAGUUCUGGAGACACAUGGUGGUGCUGGCUGCACAACAGCGUGACUGUACUUAAUGCCGCUGAACGGUACACUUAAAAAUGGCCAAAACGCUAAAUUUGAUGUUAUGUGUCUUUUACCACGAACAAAAAUCACAAGCACUUUCCCCCCCAAAACAAAAGAGUACAGAUACUGGACCAAGCUGGUAGUCAAGUAAAUUUGACACUCUGGGCGUUAACAGGGUGACUAUUGCACUUUGUGGUGAAUGCUCACUACUUACAAUCAUUGUGAGGAAUUAACCCUGUUUACUGGGACUCCAUUAAUACAAUAUAUUCUUAUUUCUUCUGGAAGGCCCUGGAAGCUCCCUUGGGAGGGGGUAAAACAGACCUCAGUCAUUGGAUUGAAAUGAACUGUAAACCGUGCUUAGUAACAGAUGAUCUGAGAUCACCUCGCUGGUUCUACCUCUGCCCUCAAGGUUAUGCUCCCUCCUCAACUCUACUCUUUCCUCUUUCUUCCUUCCUUUUGGUUCACAGUUUACUCUUUAUCCCAGGAGGUCAGGGGGGACAUGGGUUUGUAUCGACAAAACACAAGCAUGUGAGUGUCAUGUGGCCUCAUGCACUUCAUCAAAAAUGUCCUGUACUAUCACGGACCCCGGUCCUCUGGCCCAGACUUUGCUCCUAGGAGUGAGAGCUGUUUGCACAUAUCCCAGAGCAUUUCAUUCUCCAGGCCUGUGGGCAUCUGCAUCAAAACCUCACAGCAUCACCUCCCAAUUUUCUCCUUUCUCUAGCUGCUUCUGAAGAUGAGAACCACAGGCACUGCCUGGUGGCCUCUCUGUUUCUGAGGAGUCCCCUACAGAAAAUAACCCAGAAAGGGGCUGAAAGAUGGAUGUCUUUUGGAUUGAGAAAUUGUUUCAUUGUAGCAUGAAAUCAAAUGUUUGAAGUUUUGUGCUCAUAUAUUAGGACCUGUCUCGUGCCUACCCCCAUCAUCUCUGAUAACGAUGCAGAGCCCUGUUGAAUGCAGAGCUGCCUGUGGUGCCUGACGAUCUGAGUCGUGCACAGAGCCAGACAUGGCUCUCAGGGGUGAUGGCUGUGUGAGUUCCUGCCUUCAGGGCAGACAGCCAGUCUGCUAAGAGUGGGUUGGGGCAGGAACAAUCAGUGCCUUUUCUGUGGGCUUCUUGUUGUUGGAUUUUGCUCCACAGGUGGGAGGACAAGUCCCAGUUCUCCUAACUAGGCCUUUAGAGUCUGGGUGGUGUGGAUGCCCGCUGCAGGCUUGGAGGCUAGAAAGCAAGGACCUCCCUGCCUCAUGUGGUCAGGGGAGGCAGGAGUAAAGCCGGUGUGAAGGUGCAGGAGUUGGAAGGAAGUUGGAAAUCAGCUCCUUGAGGCCCUUCACUCUGAGAGUCACAAAGGAAAAAGAGAUGUCUCCUCACUGCAAGCAAAAUGGAACCUCCUUCCUGCACAUGAAGCCCUUCCUCACUGCAGGUUAUUCCAAAGGAGAGGAAGAAACAUGACCUCCACAUACCAUCCAAGGAAAUAAGCGUGUUUAAAGGAGACGAGCGCACCUUCACGUGUGGGACGUGUCUGCUGCUUAAACAGUUCUUCGUGAGUGAAAGAAGGUGCACGAAAGAGAGAACGCCGGCACUGCCUCCUAGCACUCAAAUCCCCAUUCCUGCUGCUGCCGUGUGUGAAGCCGCAGCAUCCUCACCAGGGCCAUACAGGGAACAAAUGCAAACUACCCAUAGACCCUUUGCUGUAUUCAAAACACAUCAUAAAUAAGGCGAUGUUUGAAGAUGAGAAGGACUUAAAAGGAGUGGUGUGUUCUCCUGGCCUGUUGGUUUGAGUGCCUGAAAGUGGACCUUGGCUAGAGCCCCAGGUUCGGAAGACAUUCUUAGCAAACCUCUUUAGAGUGAGGAUGUGAACACAGGGGCAAGGGAAGCCUCCAUGGAGAGCAGGCAGCUCCUGCAGUGGAAGGUUGAUCACUUGCACAGAGGGAAGGAACCAUGGAUUCCAUUAUAUAACACUUGAACCAUCUUUUGUGUUUCCAGAAUCAUUAAAAAUAGAUGGGCACCUCCAUGUAUGAAGUAGAUGAAGUCUUCCAGAGAAGAUUGGUAAAGUAUUUGUUUUGACAAAUCACCUUGCAAGUGAUGUGAAAGCAGUUUGGAGAAAAUGUCCUCAUCUCAUUCUGCAUCAGAGUGUGCAUCCCGUAGCCUAAAUCUGUUGAUGACAUUAAAAAAUUUUUUUAUUGGUUCUUUAUAGAUCUUUAUAAGCUGGAUGUACUCCAGAAGAUAGGUAGGAGAGAUUCUAAGAGAUGUAGAAAAAUAGGUUCAAGAAUUGAGGCUUCAUAAUAGGUAAAAGGAAAUGAUACAAAGGUAAAAGAAGAAAUGUAUAAAUAUUACAACAGGACACCGAAUUUUAGGAUCUUUAUUCAGGGAUUGAAAAAAAUUGGAUAAGUUUGUAAAAGACACUGAGAAGCUGUAGAAAAAAACUGGAUAACAUAGAGGACUGAUGUCCUUUUGGGAGUUUAAGAAAAAGAAUAAGUUAUUCAAGAAAGUAAUAUCUGAGGAUCUUAAAGGACUAUAUAAAAUGUAAUUUCACAGCUUAGAAAGAUAACUUGGUUCUGGGAACUCUUAUCUCUAUUCCUGACAGUGGUAAUGUUCUGGGUCUAAUCUUGGAAGAUCCUGAGACAAUUUCAGAGGAUUUCCGGCUUGAAGAACACAAACUGAUGACUGUCCCGAUGAGCUUGGUCCCUUUAACAUCAGAAGUGGCCACUCCUAGGCUGGGUGGCCCUUGACCAUGGUCCUUGACCAUGGUCCUCAUAUUUUUCACCUACAGGUUUGCUCUGGGCCAACUUCCAAGCCUGUGCUCCUCCUUCCAAGCUUCCCUGCACGCAGUCUUCUUCUGGGCCACUUGGCUGGUUUUUUAAUACCUGAGGAUUUGCUCCCAUCUCUGCAUGACCAAGCCUUGGCCAAGCCACUAUUUAUGUUGAUUCAGUUGCAACAUCUGCUCCUACUGGGGAUGGUCACAUCUUUCAUAGCUUACACAUGGUCUAGCUUGAAGCCAGUCUCUUCUGUGGUCAUUCUGAGCAGCAAGAAGCACUGUCUUUUGGAUUCACUGCAGAACUCACACACCACAAUGAACAAAGUCAGUUUCUAUAGCUAUCGCUGCAUCCAGAUUGGACAUUGACCUUUGCUGAGCCACCCCUUACUUCUGUUUCAGAUAAACUCAUCUGGCAAUUAAAAUCUCGGUGCACUUCCUCCAACUUGUCCAGAUGAGAGUAAAGUGAAAGACUCAUCAAGAAAUGGAGAAGAACCACAUGGCUGGCCCCUGCUGCUUGAAUCUUGGAUCUUGCGCCCAAAGAUGACAGUAAAAAUGCAGGUGGCACUGCUGCUACAUUUGCCCGGCACACCCGUAAAACAUGCAGCAUAUUUUAGCCUUCAGUGUUGGACUGGUAUUUCCAAAUAUAGGCUCAAAAAAUCCUCAGGUGUUUGAUUCUAACGUAGAGCCAGGGCUUCUGUCCUGCAAAUGCAUCCUGCAGCACAGGGAAAGGACCCAGUCCUCUGUGUCUCUUGCUUCAAAUUCUUCCAUCUUCUGGAGGCUGGAGAAAGAUGUGUGUCUACAUCUUGAAAUAUGCGCUUUGAACAAGAAUUACUAACCUGUAGAAAACCUGUCUUACUUUGAACAAAUUCUGUUUACAGAAGCCUGUCGGAACAUCAAAAUAAAGCAUCAGAAGGUCAUAAACUAAGGAGAAAACCUGAAAAAUAAAGUUCUAUGCGACCCAAA